GAACUCUGGAGAAUCCCACAACGGAGUGGGUGCCGAAGGUGCAAAGCGGUGUUUUUCCCCGCCAAUCUCUCAGGCAAAAGUACGGAGACGA
rnacentral:ncRNA from 1 species